CAGUAGCCGCGGGAAUACGUAGGGUGCGAGCGUUGUCCGGAAUUAUUGGGCGUAAAGAGCUUGUAGGCGGUCUGUCGCGUCUGCUGCGAAAACCCGAGGCUCAACCUCGGGCCUGCAGUGGGUACGGGCAGACUAGAGUGCGGUAGGGGAGAACGGAACUCCUGGUGUAGCGGUGGAAUGCGCAGAUAUCAGGAAGAACACCGAUGGCGAAGGCAGUUCUCUGGGCCGUAACUGACGCUGAGAAGCGAAAGCGUGGGGAGCGAACAGGAUUAGAUACCCCUGUAGUCCCUGUCUCUUAUAC
rnacentral:rRNA from 1 species